GGGGACUACUAAAGGAACUGCCUACGGCAAGUAGUGAGGAAGGCGGGGAUGACGUCAAAUCAGCACGGCCCUUACGUCCAGGGCUACACACGUGCUACAAUGGCCGAUACAGAGGGCAGCUACCUGGUGACAGGAUGCAAAUCUCCAAAGUCGGUCUCAGUUCGGAUCGGAGUCUGCAACCCGACUCCGUGAAGUUGGAUUCGCUAGUAAUCGCGCAUCAGCCAUGGCGCGGUGAAUACGUUCCCGGGCCUU
rnacentral:rRNA from 1 species